rnacentral:rRNA from 1 species
UAUUUUGACUAUACGAAGGUAUUGAAAUAAGAUUUUAAAUGAGUGCUAAGAGAAUGAUUAAACAAUUAAAAGCUUUCUUUAAUUGAAUAAUUGAAUUUAAUUUUUUAGUGCAAAAGCAAAAAUAAAAAUUAGGGACAAGAAGACCCUAUGAAUUUUUUAUUAAAUUUUAUAAAACUUUAUAUAAAAUUUAAUUUAAUUGGGGUGAUGGAAAAAGAAUAAAUAUCUUUUUUUUUAAAAAAAAUUGGUUCCGUUUUUAGCGAUUAAAUGAAAAAAAUACUCUAGGGAUAA